GUGAGAGUGAGCAGCCAGAGGGUAAGAGGUGCCAUGAGAUGUCAUGAGAUUAAAGAGCUCUUGGAAAAGAUGUCACAGAUAAUGCAGUUGGGAAAAGGAAUCCUCUGGAAUCGUAUUGGCAGUUCUGUGUAAGCCCUGCUUUUUAGAAGAGAAGGAUUUAGUGAUGAUUAUGCGAACAUAGAAGAAAAAGAAAACGGAGCACUCACAUUACUGCUGGAGGCCUUCAAUUCAGGCUUAAUUCACGGAGGUCUGAACAUUGGCAACCUCUGCAGGGAGACGCAGAUGGAAUAAGGGGGAAGCUCGGACGGCGGCCACGGUCCCGUAUCGCGCCAAUGUGUGCUUCUUCAGGCAGGAUAAUCGUCAUUCCACUCCUCAAUGUUUUUUAACCAUUGCUGUGAAUGAACAAAAAAGGCAAAACAGAAAAUGAUCUGCAAUGACAUAGAUCGAGGUUUCCAGAUGGAGAUAAUGGCACAGCCCCAUAUGAAUGUCCACAAUCUGAGACACUGUGCUAUAGAACAAAGUCGUUCCCAGCCUCUCCUAAUGGUGUGACAGGGUACCUUAGGCAUUUCAGAAAGCAGCUGGCAAGCGCCACCAACAGCAGGUGAA